rnacentral:rRNA from 1 species
AGAGUUUGAUCAUGGCUCAGAAUGAACGCUGGCGGCGUGCUUAACACAUGCAAGUCGUACGAGAACGCUUCAGCUUGCUGAAGCAAGUAAAGUGGCGCACGGGUGAGUAACGCGUGGGUAAUCUACCCUGGAAUCGGGGAUAACUCCGCGAAAGCGGGGCUAAUACCGGAUAAUAUUUUUAAAGCCCAGGCUCUAAAAAUCAAAGGUGGCCUCUUCAUGAAAGCUACCGUUCGAAGAUGAGCCCGCGUACCAUUAGCUUGUUGGUGGGGUAAUGGCCUACCAAGGCAACGAUGGUUAGCUGGUCUGAGAGGAUGAUCAGCCACACUGGAACUGACACACGGUCCAGACUCCUACGGGAGGCAGCAGUGAGGAAUUUUGCGCAAUGGGGGAAACCCUGACGCAGCAACGCCGCGUGAGUGAUGAAGGCCUUCGGGUCGUAAAGCUCUGUCAAGUGGGAAGAAUCUGCUUUGUAAUAAUACUACGAGGCACUGACGGUACCACUGAAGGAAGCACCGGCUAACUCCGUGCCAGCAGCCGCGGUAAUACGGAGGGUGCGAGCGUUAUUCGGAAUCACUGGGCGUAAAGGGCGCGUAGGCGGUUGGGUAAGUCAGAUGUGAAAGCCCGGGGCUUAACCCCGGAAGUGCAUUUGAAACUGUUUAACUUGAGUAUGGGAGAGGGAAGUGGAAUUCCUGGUGUAGAGGUGAAAUUCGUAGAUAUCAGGAGGAACACCGGUGGCGAAGGCGACUUCCUGGACCAAUACUGACGCUGAGGCGCGAAGGCGUGGGGAGCAAACAGGAUUAGAUACCCUAGUAGUCC